rnacentral:rRNA from 1 species
AUCUCAGUUCGGAUUGUAGUCUGNAACCCGACUACAUGAAGCUGGAAUCGCUAGUAAUCGCAGAUCAGAAUGCUGCGGUGAAUACGUUCCCGGGUCUUGUACACACCGCCCGUCACACCAUGGGAGUCGGAAAUGCCCGAAGUCGGUGACCGAACCGAAAGGAAGGAGCCCGCCGAAGGCAGGUCUGGUGACUGGGGUGAAGUCGUAACAAGGUAAC